rnacentral:rRNA from 1 species
GUGCCAGCAGCCGCGGUAAAACGUAGGAGGCAAGCGUUAUCCGGAUUCACUGGGCGUAAAGCGUGUGCAGGCGGUUCGGUAAGUUGGGCGUGAAAUCUCCCGGCUUAACUGGGAGAGGUCGUUCAAUACUACCGGACUAGAGAGCAGUAGAGGAAGAUGGAAUUCCCGGUGUAGUGGUGAAAUGCGUAGAUAUCGGGAGGAACACCAGUGGCGAAGGCGAUCUUCUGGACUGCGUCUGACGCUCAUACACGAAAGCUAGGGUAGUAAACGGGAUUAGAGACCCCGGUAAUCCUAGCUGUAAACGAUGUGAACUUGGCGUUGGUGGCUUAAACACCAUCAGUGCCGAAGCAAACGCGAUAAGUUCACCGCCUGGGGACUACGAUCGCAAGAUUAAA